AAAAAAAAAAAACUAUCGUGUAGUAUAUCUCGUAAACGGCUACUGUAAAAAUUUCAGCCGAAUCGGACUCGUAGUGUUGUUUUGACCGUGUGUGGAAGCGGACGUGUCCGCGGAUUUAAAAAAAAUGGUAAAAGAGCAAUAUUAGUCGGUGAUUCGAUUUUGGUUUUUUGAAUCGCUUGGACGCUGUAUACGGUGACUCUUCUCCUUCGAUGGCGACCGUCAAAAAUUAGUUUAACGAGUUUCAACGUUGUCGCACGUCGGUUUUUGAUGUGCCCCGAAAACGGCUACCACGGAGGAUAACGUGACAAAAAUCCACGAUCUCGUAUUGGCAGACCGCCGAUUGAAGGUGCUGACAGCUGAAACAGUAGGCAUCUCAGAAGACCACGUGGGUCAUAUCCUGCAUGAAAUUUUGGGCAUGAGAAAGCUGUCGGCGCGAUGGGUGCAGCGUUUGCUCACUCCGGACAACAAGCACAACCGUGAUACCACUUCAGAGCACUCUUUGACGCUGUUCAAGCGCAAUGCGAAGGAGUUUCUGUAUAGUUUCGUGACCGUCGACGAAACAUGGAUCCACUGGAACACACCAGAGAACAGUCGAAACAGUGGACUUCACCCGGCGAACGUGCUCUGAAGAAGGCGAAGACUGUCUUAUCGACCGGAAAGGUGAUUGCCACCGUUUUCUGGUAUUCACAAGGUGUAAUCUACAUUGACUACCUGGAGAAGGGCAAAACGAUCACAGGACUCUACUAUGCCGAAUUAUUGGGUCGAUUCGACGCCGAUUUGCUGAAUAACGGCUCCAUUUGGCGAAGAAAAAAGCGCCAUGACAACGCACCGGUUCACCCCUCCGCCGUCGCCACAGCCUAAUUGGUCGAACUGCACUACGUAUGCUCCAGAUUUGGCCCUGUGCGACUUUUUUUUGUUUCCACUCGCCGGACAGAAAUUUGAGUCGAAUGAGGAGGUCAUCGCCGCCACGGAGGCCUACUUUGCAGACCUCGAGAAAAUGUAUUUUUCAGAUGGAUCAAAGAAGUUGGAGCAUCACUGGAUCAAGUGUAUCGAGCUAAGAAAAAUAAAACGUCAUUUUUCCAAAAAAAAAUUUAUUUUUUUUAUGGGCUAAGUACUUAUCGGAUUGCCCUUGUAUAUUAUAGCAAGCAUCAAAGCACGCCAGUUUGUACUUGUGUACGGUUGUGUUCAUGCCUCCAACAUUUUGACGUAGGACUACGUAUUUGACUUCUAUAUAGGGGGGACACUCUACGAAAAAUGUAACGUUUAUUAAGAGUUUUCGAAUGCAUAUUAUGCAAAAUCGUUCUUAUGAUAUAUGUUAUAAUAUAUACCAUUAGACGGCAAAUUUAUCCACCAUUUUUUUCGCCUGAGACAUCAACGGUCGAAAUAAUAAAUCAAGUGAGCAAUUCAACAAACCAAAGAGGUAUGUUUUGCGAGCGGAUGCGAAGGUAAAUUAUGCAUUCUUUCUUUCAACUUCGUUCCCAUAGCGUUGUAUGCAACACAAAAUUGUGUGCAAUAAUUCGAUCUAUCAAACAAAUUAGCAAGACCUUUUUCGAAUGUUGAAUUAAUCAGAUGCAAGAUCAAAUGUCAUACAAGAUUUCAUCAAAGCAACAAGGAAAGUGUCACCCAUACAUAUAUGACGGGAUGACGAACAUCUUAAGCCAGUGUCUUCCGGGCUGCGAAAACAUGGGUAAUUGUACUAAGAAAAAUGAUAGCAAUACUAUGCGGAUGGCAUCGAUUAUAAUAUUGAGCAGUAGAACCAACACGACUUGAUUGUGAUAGUCUGCAAACGGUGAAUUUUUUUCACCGAAAAAGCUUCUGCUAAUAAUUAGAAUAAUACAAUAGAAAGAAACAACAAUAUCACCAUUUAAAAUAAAGCAACUUCAUGAUUUAAUGUGUAUUUUACCUCAAAAUAUCACGAAAUCACUGAUAUUCAUUAAUCAUUUUCGGUUAGACAGUUCCUACCAGAAACUGAAAGCGUCAGGAAAGGCGUGGAAAAACUUUGUACAAUAGUGUAGUGAUCUUUUCCUGCUUCGGCAGGACAUAUACUAUUCCAGCAAUCACCUGAGAAACCAAACUCAGUAACUUGAGCAUUGCGAUCGGGCUCAUCUUGAUGAGUAGCUAUGUUGAAGUUAGGCGAGUCGUCGUGCGAACUGAGAUCCCCUCAGAUUUAGCAAUCGUGCGAAAUGCAAAUCACCGGCGAACCCAGUGUUCAAAAAGUGAUUAAAGCUGGAUGGAUACGUUGAGCAGGAAAUGCUGCAAGAAUGUCCUGCAAAAAUUGUGUUUAUCGGGAAUCCGACUGGUACGAGACGACGAGGAGCGCAGCGAGCAAGUGGAAGUGGAACAGGACAUGGUGAGCACGGGUUACCCGCGGAAUUGGAGAGAGAUAACCACAAACCGAGAUAAUUGUGUGAAGCAGGCCAUGUUGUAGAGACUUAAGUCAAAAUAAAUAAAAUAAAUCCCCCCACGGGUAAUAUGUACAUAUACCACAUCGAAAAGAAAGGUUUACUUUUUGGUCUGUUUUAAUUUCAGUAAAAAACAAGCUUUGUUCACCUGAAGAACAUACAUAACAUUAUAAAAUCAAUCUACUUGGAUGUUUAAGGUAGGAACAAUUGAGAUUAACCAAGUCUAGAAGCUCCAUAAUGAUUGCUGCUCCUCGGAAUAUUCACAAGAUCAUCUCAUCUCAUCGAAAUUCGUUCAAUUCCACUCGUGUUUUGAAUAUCAAUUGUUCAUUUAAAAAAACAACAACAAGAGUUUGCUCGGAUUUUUUAGUAUAAUUUUCCAAAAAUGUUCAAGUAUAACAUUGUAUAGUGAGUCGGCUUCUCGAGUUAUCGCCUAUCGAAAUUCAGCCCCAAAAUAUUGCGUGCCUGUAGAAAUAUGAAACAUCAUUAUAACACAAUAUAUAGGAACUAUAUAAUAUAUGAAAGCUUACUGUUAGAAAUACUGAGUUUAUAGUACUUUGAACAUGUGCGGUGGCGUCUUCCGACAUCACCAAAAACUUAUGAACUGCUGUGGCAUCUUGCAUGCGCUGUUCCAGAUAUUUCCAGGUUUUUUCGUUAUCAACUGAUUUAUCCUGCAGCAUAUAGAGCUCAGUCGUUUUGUAUAUGCCAGCCAAUCCAAUCCGUUUUAUGUACCAAUUAAACUGAAAUGCAAUUUAUGCAUUAGACCGUUUGAAAGUUAUCAGUACAGUACAUCAUAGUUACAUCAACAGAACGAUCACCUGAGUAAUAACAAAUAUCAUCUACAAGGGUUAACAAGUUUGCUAGCGAUGUGGGAGCGUUAGGUGGAAGUGCCAUCAGCCCCAGCGCCUGUGACCAGUGCCCGAUGUAGGGUGUAAGCAUGCGUAGUCUCAAUUCAAUCGCCUUCCUAGCAAAUUCAGAUGGGCGUUGUACCUCUCCCAUGGCUGAUACCUCUUGUUUCAUAUAGUCAACUAAUUUAUCGUUACAUUGUCUAUAGAAAUGCAACACUAGUUCUAUGCCCCCUCUUGGGAACAGUCCGCUACUUAUACUUGUAUAAUUUAGGCUUUCAGCACCCUUCGCAAUAGAUUGUAUAGACCAUCCGUGGGUAGGCACAAACGAUAUGGCUGCAUUAAGGAUAGAAUUCUUCACUGAAGAAACAUCUGAAUCAUUGUCAUUAUUGCACUCUUUGCUUUGGUUUGUUUUGUCCGUGUAUGUUUGAUCUGUAUGUUUGGUAUAAUUCUGUUCUUUUCGUUCUUCAUCGGCUCUGAAUAUAUCAAAAUUCUUUGGUGUUUGCAGUUUUUCUGUGCAAAGUGAUUUAUUCUGCUUUAAUUCCAAAGCAAUUCGGCAUUUUUGUUGCGGCAAACGUGAAACUAUUGCAGCGACAUGGUACAAUCGUGGAAUCGGAUCUGUGGGGAGGAUAAGUAUUUUUUAAACGAUUUUAUUCAGCUUGACCUGUAACAUGUUUGUCUGUAGUGCUGUCCCACAUUAAUAGAAAUUCGACCCCCUUCCUGUUGACCUAUUGAUUUGGAAUUUGGAACACCUUCAUCUCUGCUGUCAAUAUAAAAUUACGUAUUCCAUAAUCAUGAAAAUCCAAGAUGGCGCCCGCUACAAAAUGGCGCACUACAUAUUUCCUCAAAAUACGGAAAAAUAUUUUCCAUCAAUAUGAGAAACAUAGAUUACAUAGAUAACAUAGAUAAUAAGAAAAAUUGUCAAAAUAUUGAACUCCCGGCCCCGUGAGGCUAACGCCAUAUGAGCCUUGAUAAAAAUAUAUAUUUUGGAAAAAAAAAAAUGAGUAUCAAAUGCCAGGGCAUUACAAUUCUCACGCUCAAUAAAGAGAAUAAUAUCACUUCACCUUCGUACAGUCUCAUUUCAUUCCACGUUCUUUUUCCUUCAUUCUUCACACUGAAGGGAAGAUAUCAAAUCGUCCUUUCACUUGUGAAAUUGAAAAUGCCCUAUAAUCCAUUCAUCUGAUAAUGAAUGGAUUCAACCGUCAAGUGAAAACAUCUGCUUAAAAUUCAAAGGAAACGGCAGCAGAACGAAAGCGAAAUUGAAGAAUCGAUGUUUCAGUAUGCGUAGUGAAUAUACACAAUCGAAAUUGAAAUUGGAAGAAAUAAUAAAGUAAAAUUAAACACAAAACAACACUCAAAAGCAAUGUAAUUAUAUACUACAG